AGCGGUGAGGACCCGAAACACACUUGUUCGCUCGGGAGAAGUAUGGUUCGGCGUCUCGCCGCAG
rnacentral:precursor_RNA from 1 species